GACGAACGCUGGCGGCGUGCUUAACACAUGCAAGUCGAACGCUGAAGCUCAGCUUGCUGGGUGGAUGAGUGGCGAACGGGUGAGUAACACGUGAGUAACCUGCCCUCUUCUUUGGGAUAACGCCCGGAAACGGGUGCUAAUACUGGAUAUUCACUGAUUCUCGCAUGGGGGUUGGUGGAAAGGUUUUUUCUGGUGGGGGAUGGGCUCGCGGCCUAUCAGCUUGUCGGUGGGGUGAUGGCCUACCAAGGCUUUGACGGGUAGCCGGCCUGAGAGGGUGACCGGUCACAUUGGGACUGAGAUACGGCCCAGACUCCUACGGGAGGCAGCAGUGGGGAAUAUUGCACAAUGGGCGAAAGCCUGAUGCAGCGACGCCGCGUGAGGGAUGGAGGCCUUCGGGUUGUAAACCUCUUUCGCUCAUGGUCAAGCCGCAGCUUUGGGUUGUGGUGAGGGUAGUGGGUAAAGAAGCGCCGGCUAACUACGUG
rnacentral:rRNA from 1 species